rnacentral:sRNA from 1 species
GUCCGGGUAAUGGCCGGUGAAGAUUGUCGGGCGGCUCGGCGCGCA